CCUGGCCUCGUUCAGUGGGUUAAGGAUCUGGCAUUGUUGUGAGCUGUGGUGUACAUCAUAGAUGCCGUUCUGAUCUGACUUGGCUGUGGCUGUGGCUAGCAUCCACAGCUGCAAUUCAACCCCUAGCCUGGGAACCUCCAUGUGCCGCAGGUGCAGCCCUAAAAAAAAAAAAAAAGAAAAAAAGAAAAAAAAAUCUACCUUUGCAUCUCUAGGUAGGACGUGCCAGUUGGGGAAGUAGUGCCUCACGCCACAGUGCUUCUCUGCUCAAUGCAGUAUAUGGCUAAAUACAUAGCUAAAGUUUCAAGCUGAUUGGGGAAGGGAGGAGGGGAUGGGAGUGUCUCUCAUAUCCCCGGAAUUCUCAGAAGAUAAGAGAUGGGGAAUGGAGUGGGAAGGAACUUUUGGUUGGGAGGCAGGGAAAUAAGAAGGAAUGGUUCUUGAGGACUGUACCCCUUUCAGCCUGAUGUCAGGACCCAUAAACUUGUUUACAACCUACUUCUAAUAGCAUUUGGUUGUCACAGUUGUAUGAACCCUUUUCACACAAGAGAUAAACCAUUCAACAAAUUCCUUUUGGAUGACAUUAUCUCACUCAUAAUAAUAAAAUUGAAAAUAACCUAAAUAAUUAAAAGUUGGAUGUUUGUUAAAUGUAUUACUACAUAUUCACACAACAAAUGUAUUCAACAUCUAAAAAUUAUAACAGUAUAUUUAUUGAUUUGAAAGUUGGUUACAAUAUAUUUUUGCAAACAAGGUAUCAUGUGAAUGGUAAAAUCCCAGUUUUACUUUUUAAAAAAGACUGUUUACAUAUGUAGAUAUGGAUAUAUGGUGUUGACAGUAGUUGUCCUUUGGCAGGCAUCAUUGUAAGAUUUUUGGUUUCAUUAAGAAAUGCUUAUUUGUAUCAUUAAGUUUUUUUUUCUGAUAAGGAUCUUUUAUUGUGGACAAAAGAAAAAAUAUACUUUUAGUGGAAAAAAAGACAAUUGACAUUGAGUUUUUCUUUAGUCUGUCCAAAUAAAAUAAUGGCCUGAAAUUUAAACUUAGAUAUGCAGUUCAAUAUUCAUGCUAAAACUCUAUUUCCAAGACACAUUAACCUAUUUCAAAAAAGAAUUAUCCUUCAGGACUUAGUAUAGCAGUAGGAGAGAGGUCACUCUCCCGUAUGCCAUAUUGGAAUCUGCAAAUUCCAUUCCUGUGAUUGGGGAAUAGGCCAAUGUACCAAAAAAACAAUUCCAAGACGGGGUGGGGGCUGUAAGAGAAAUGUUUUAUGUUUAAUUGAAUGUUUCUAAAAUAUCUAUAUAUCACACUCAAAGUAUUACCUGGAAAAGUUUAUACCUAUUCCUUCAUGCUCGUGUAUGUAUAUAACUAGGAAAGUACAGUGACCCUUUAGAAAUUUGGGGAGGGGGGUGGAGAUAAACUGCAUUAAUCUGAGUUGCUGUCAAGCAACAUUUAGUGUUGUAACGGCAAUGUGAACCAGCACUUAGAAUCCACAAGGCUCAGGACAUGUUUGUUUCCAUAACCUUACUCUUUUUCCAAGAUGUUUGCAAGUUCUCAAUCCUUGAUUUGAAAAAAAAAACAAAAAAACAAACACCUGAGGAAACUUAGUAAAAUGCAAAUUCCAAGACCCCACUCUCAGAUAUUCUGAUUAAGCAGAACUGGCUUGGAACCCAGGAAUGUGCAAUUUAAACUGGGGCCCAAAAUUAGAGAAACACCAUUUUAAGAAAAUGUGCUUCUUUUAAUACUGGGUAAAUUAUGGCAAAGAGCAAAAAAGAGGAUACCAUACAGCUCCAAGAACUGUGAUGUAUGAAGUAGAGAUAGAAACAUUGCCUCUGCUCCAAAAUCUUUCUCCAUCCCUCCCUCACCAGCUGACAAGCAUGUUCCCUGACCUGUAUGUGAACCCUUUGACCAAAUUAUUCAGUGCCUCAAAACCGGCCCUUUGGCAGUUAACGCAACCUUACUGUGUGGAAAAAAACCUUUUUCCUCAGAGUACUCGAAACCCUGUUAAGAUAAUGACUUGGGCCGCACUUAGAAACCUGCCGCAUUCAACUUUCUAAAUCCACACUCCUACAGAUUGCUGCCCCUAGUACAUGUGCUUUGUAUCCACUGGGGCUAAUGGUUUUCCAUGUUCUGCUUUCGACACGUGACAGCCCCAUGUCAUAGUGCUGCUGAAAAAUGCAUUCUCCAUGCCCAGGAAGAACCUGUAUAAAUAUUCUCAAUAAAUAAAUAACAGUUGUCAUUUUCAGAAUAUGACAAUCUCCAGCUGCCUGUGCUUAAAGUGAGCGACGUGUCAUUUAUCCUAAUAGAUGUGAAUGCGUGUAUUGUACAUACCAGUGAGUCACCUAAUUCUUAUUCACUCCAGCCUUGGUCUCAGCUGGGGGCAAGUGCUUCUAACAGGGUAUGGCUGGAUCAAAUCACAAGCUGAAAAAUCUUGGUCAAUUAUAGAAGCCUGAGGCUACGGAGGGUUUUCAGACCUCGUAGACCCCUCCUCUUCCCAAGCCUACUGAAGAUGCCAGUCAAACUCCCAUCUGUGGAAUUUCUGGGACUUUUUCCCCCCCUGUAAUUUAAUGUGACUCAGUUGUUCUCUGUCCUGAUAAUACAAGUGGUGAGAAAGUCGCCUAAUCCUACUGGCAUCCCCUCUUGUCAGCACCUCUUUAUUUCCCUCUUUAAAGGCUCAACAUGUUUUGAUUUACAAUCCGCACCAAGAUAACUGCAGGUGCCCUCUCUAAAAAGCAAGGUUAACUCACCUGAGAUGAAUUCUUUUAUUGCAAACAAAAGCAACACAUGAGCAGGAAAUACAAUUAAUACAGGUGCUUCCCUGAAACUUAGCAAAUGCCUGUUGUCUCGAAAGGAAAAAAAAAAUCUUCACCAUGGCCUGGAGUUUCCUCUGAUGCUAUUUCAGUGAAGGAAGGAUUUGAAUUAAAAUACAUUUAAAGGAGAAAGGAAAAGCCUUCUAUAUUCAGAAGCCCCAAGAAAGACCUCAUGUAAGGAUCUAUACAUUGUUUAAGGUUAUUCGGGUGAGGAAAGUUGAGCAAAACUGACUCCAACAUCAGCAUUUUGAGGUGAAAUCAUCCAUCCAAUGAAAUCAUCAGUUUUGUAAGAGUCCAUGUAUCAAACUAUAUUCUUGAUAAAUAAUUUUUUUUCAGUACUCUGGUUAAGGCAACCUUUGUAGAACUUGUCAUUUGAUUCUCCUUGUAAAUAUACAAAGCAUAUAUUAAAUUCAGGAAAGCAUUUUGAAUUCUCUUAGUUGGAGACUGAUGUGUUAACUUGAUCUUCAGUUUGCUUGAGGUUCAGAGUUCACUAUUCUGUAGUUGACAGUUCAUUACUUUAAAACUUUGGAAGUUAGUUGAAAGGCUUUUAUCGUGAAGUAGAGGAAACUCUGAAAAGGUGAUGUGAAAGAUAUUUGCUGUUCAUGUUCAUGUUAAGAAAUGAUCAAAAAGGAAAUCAAGCAAAAUAAAUGUUGCAGCCCUACUAAAUCUUGUAUAGU
rnacentral:lncRNA from 1 species